CCAGAGCUGGGUAAUAUUGUGUUUAUCUGAAUACAACAAAAAAUUCCUUUAAAUAGAGAAAGAAAUCGGCUAUAUUAUCUAAUGACAAACUACUUGAGCACUGUUGAAACUAAUUUUUGUCUUUCCUAAAAUGGAGAGACAACACUAAAGGUGAAUCAGUACAAAGGAUCCAGGCAGAAGAUCUUGUGUACAGAAGCAUCUAGGAAGGCCACCAGAAAGAGCAUGUGUUAUAGUACCCACUCUGAAUACUGCUGGGAGACACAAACGUUUUUUU